rnacentral:misc_RNA from 1 species
UAAAUUUCAACAUGGUAUCAAAGCAUAGAGUUUGAUUCCCAAAGUUCUUUUUUCCCUCAAAUUCUCCAUCUUAAUGUAUCAGAACCUGUGUAUCGAGUCCCUUCUCUAAAAAUUCUCUUUUCUAUUUUUCUCCUCUAUUUUUUGAAAAGAAACAGAUCCAAAAGUAUAAAUAUUCAAACCAUCAUCAAAGGAAAUCAUUCAAGUCUCAUUGCCCAAGACAGAAGCACCAGUCGCUGAAGAGGUUCACACGCCAUCUCUUUCUUUCCACCUUGAAUCCACGUGCAGGCACAUGACAUCACAUCCAACCACCAUUUCUUGCCGGAGUUUCUCCUACUGAGGUCACCUAAGUCUAGCGACUCCCCCCAGCUAAUCAACUCCACUUGAAUCUUAAGACAAGGGAAUCCCUUCUCCUUACAAUAGUUGUUUCCCUGUCUCUCUAUUUCUAAGUUUCUAUUUUAAAUUUACAGCCCACUUAUAAAAAAGAGAAAAAAAA